GACAGAGGGUGCAAACGUUGUUCGGAAUUACUGGCGUAAAGCGAGUGUAGGCGGUCUGAAAAGUCGGGUGUGAAAGCCCUGGGCUCAACCCAGGAAGUGCACUCGAAACUGCCAGGCUAGAGUAUCGGAGAGGUUGGUGGAAUUCUCGGUGUAGAGGUGAAAUUCGUAGAUAUCGAGAGGAACACCGGUGGCGAAGGCGGCCAACUGGACGAAUACUGACGCUGAGACUCGAAAGCGUGGGGAGCAAACAGG
rnacentral:rRNA from 1 species